CCUACGGGGGGCUGCAGUGAGGAAUAUUGGUCAAUGGACGAGAGUCUGAACCAGCCAAGUAGCGUGAAGGAUGACUGCCCUAUGGGUUGUAAACUUCGUUUAUAUGGGAAUAAAACGUUCCAUGUGUGGGAUUUUGUAUGUACCAUAUGAAUAAGGAUCGGCUAACUCCGUGCCAGCAGCCGCGGUAAUACGGAGGAUCCGAGCGUUAUCCGGAUUUAUUGGGUUUAAAGGGAGCGUAGGUGGAUUGUUAAGUCAGUUGUGAAAGUUUGUGGCUCAACCGUAAAAUUGCAGUUGAAACUGGCAGUCUUGAGUACAGUAGAGGUGGGCGGAAUUCGUGGUGUAGCGGUGAAAUGCUUAGAUAUCACGAAGAACUCCGAUUGCGAAGGCAGUUCACUGGACUGCAACUGACACUGAGGCUCGAAAGUGUGGGUAUCAAACAGGAUUAGAUACCCGUGUAGUC
rnacentral:rRNA from 1 species